ACGGGUGCAGCAGGCGCGAAAACUUUACAAUGCGGGAAACCGUGAUAAGGGGACACCGAGUGCCAGCAACAUUUGUUGGCUGUCCGGGUGUGUAAACUACACCCGUUAGCAAGGGCCGGGCAAGACCGGUGCCAGCCGCCGCGGUAACACCGGCGGCCCGAGUGGUGAUCGUGAUUAUUGGGUCUAAAGGGUCCGUAGCCGGUUUGGUCAGUCCUCCGGGAAAUCUGACGGCUUAACCGUUAGGCUUUCGGGGGAUACUGCCAGGCUUGGAACCGGGAGAGGUAAGAGGUACUACAGGGGUAGGAGUGAAAUCUUGUAAUCCCUGUGGGACCACCUGUGGCGAAGGCGUCUUACCAGAACGGGUUCGACGGUGAGGGACGAAAGCUGGGGGCACGAACCGGAUUAGAUACCCGUGUAGUCC
rnacentral:rRNA from 1 species